GGAAAAUGGGGAAAUGUUACAUGCUAUGCAAUGUGUCUAUUUUUUAGGAGUGUUUUAGUGUUCUCCUGUAAACGGAUGUUAUUUGUUUUGAUGACAGGAUAACAUGGCAGGUUUUGAUAUGAAAAAGGAAUGCAUAUUUACAUACUCCUUUAUAUUUUCCAUUACAUUGAUAUUGACAUGGAAAUGAAAUUACAAGUAGUUAAAAUUACAGGUAAUUAAAAUGGGAAGGUAUGAAGAGACUUCCCUUCGUGUUUGGUUUAUCAGAGGCAGACCUAUCUUAGGCUACUCUCACAGCUUUUUGGCAUGAAGGUUCCCAGAUCAUCGCAAUUUACUAGAUGGGAAGCUAAUUCGAUCUUUCAACUAGAGCGAAUUUGGGUGGUGCCUUUCUUGAGCCUUACGGAAUUAGUCUCCCUUGAGUCCAGUAAUCAAACACCAAUGGAUUAGCCUCCUGGUGGAGGGACCACAUAACAUACAUCCACAUACAUUGCGUCUCACCGUAUGGAAAUGAUGAUAUGUGUGAAGCACUAAUAUCACUGGCAGAUAUGGUGUGAAGCACUAAAGUGCAGUAAAUAAAGCAUUAGUGUACAUCCAUUAAAUGUAAAUGCAUCAUUAACACAUAAGUAGAUAAAAGUUUUUGAAAAGCUUGAAUAGCGCCUUAAGCCCUCUUACUAGAGUCCCCAGCAGAGUCUCCACCUAUCGACAUCGGGAUUUUUAUUUGUCCCUUUUUGUUCUUGUCUUUUGGUGUUCUCAUUUUAGGUGAGAUUUGUUUGAGAAAACAAGUUUGAAAAGGUUCGACAUGUAUACGUCGACAAUUUUACUGUUAGAGUCGCCAGUUGGUAUUUUUAAAUGGUUGCACCAACUCAACCGAGAAAAGGUUUGAACAAAGACCUAGUGAUU
rnacentral:lncRNA from 1 species